UGUAAAAAGCAAACCCGUAGCAAUACGGCGACGCAAAACUAUAGGGUCUUAUAAUUCAUAAGAUAGCCAGUUGCC
rnacentral:ncRNA from 1 species